GUUGAAACACCGGUUCCUGUACAAUCAUCGAAGUUAAACAACGUUGGGCCUGGCCAGUACCUAGAUGGGUGACCGCUUAGGAAUAUCAGCCGCUGUAA